rnacentral:rRNA from 1 species
CCUACGGGGAGCAGCAGUGGGGAAUAUUGGGCAAUGGGCGCAAGCCUGACCCAGCAACGCCGCGUGAAGGAAGAAGGCUUUCGGGUUGUAAACUUCUUUUAAGAGGGAAGAGCAGAAGACGGUACCUCUUGAAUAAGCCACGGCUAACUACGUGCCAGCAGCCGCGGUAAUACGUAGGUGGCAAGCGUUGUCCGGAUUUACGGGGUGUAAAGGGCGUGUAGCCGGGCUGACAAGUCAGAUGUGAAAUCCCGUGGCUCAACCACGGAGCUGCAUUUGAAACUGUCGGUCUUGAGUAUCGGUGAGGCAGGCGGAAUACCUAGUGUAGCGGUGAAAUGCGUAGAUAUUAGGAGGAACACCAGUGGCGAAGGCGGCCUGCUGGACGACAACGGACGGUGAGGCGCGAAAGCGUGGGGAGCAAACAGGAUUAGAUACCCUGGUAGUC